rnacentral:rRNA from 1 species
AUGGACGUUGAAGACGACAUCACUUGGAAAUUUGAGGCAAAUGGGGAAUACUCAGCAGGUUCUGCUUAUAGGGCACAAUUCCCAGGCUCCACCUCCACAAUAAUGAACAAGACCAUCUGGAAGGUUUGGGUUCCUCCCAAGGUCAAGUUCUUCUCAUAG